UGCCAGCCGCCGCGGUAAUACGGAGGGUGCGAGCGUUGUUCGGAAUUACUGGGCGUAAAGCGCGUGUAGGCGGUCGGGCAAGUCGAAUGUGAAAUCCCCGGGCUCAACCCGGGAACUGCAUCCGAAACUGCUCGGCUAGAGUCCCGGAGAGGAAGGCAGAAUUCCCAGUGUAGGGGUGAAAUCCGUAGAUAUUGGGAGGAAUACCAGUGGCGAAGGCGGCCUUCUGGACGGUGACUGACGCUGAGACGCGAAAGCGUGGGGAGCAAACAGGAUUAGAUA
rnacentral:rRNA from 1 species